AAUAAACGACUAUGUUUGGGUUGUAUAUGAUGGGGGUGGGGUAAAAGAGGUAUGAGGGUGAGGAGCCCAGCAACACAGCAGCUUUCUAAAUGGUGACUGUGGAGAGAUGCCAAGGAUGUAGAAUGGUGCCAAGUGUAGAAUCCUGGAGUUGCUCCCUAAACCAGCAGAAACUCAUGUGCAAAGUGUAUUUCACGGAGGCCGAGUAUCUCACCUACAAAGAUAGAACGCAUGUGCAGAUAAUAUUGGGGAGCAGGGAACAAAACGUUUCCUGAGACAGCAAGAAAACGUCUCUGAGGAAAAAGUCGUAGGAGACUUCAAAACACAAAACACAAAACCUUUGGAGAAGGAAGAAAGGAGAAUUAAGCAAGAAGUCCUAGCUACACAUAUUUAAGAUGUUUCUCUUAUAGUAAAUUAAUGCCCAAACUUUUAUUACUCCUACAGCAAGCUGAAU
rnacentral:lncRNA from 1 species